rnacentral:lncRNA from 1 species
GGCCGUGUCCUGGGCCGUGUAACACACUGACUUAAUACACACGUCCGUGUCUCAGACUGUGGGUGGCAUAUGGUCAUGUGGCAUAGGCCUGUCCUAGGCCGUAUGCACCUAAAUGAACCUUAAACAUCAAGUUUACCAUUUCAAGAUUUCUUGGACACUAAGCAAUUCAUUUACCAUCCAUUUAACCCAUUUAAAAUGCCAUUAAACAUGCUCAAAUCAUGCUAAUUCAACUAUCUUAAGUGCCUAAUGUAACAACCGUUACCCGUGCUCGACGCUGGAACAAGGUACAAGGCGUUACCGGACUCAAACACAUGCAUAUCUUCCCUUAUACGGGCCUAUGUGACCCAAAACAUAAUAACUCAUACACAAAAUGACUGAGUCCCUAUACAUGUAAUAAACUUAAAAUGCUUGAAAACAUUGAUACCAAUCAAUAGCUUGAUAGUGUGAUAGAAUCUCCGAAGAUCUCCAACCCGAGCUAGUAUCUGUGACACCAUAGGAAAAGAAAAGGAAGGGGGUAAGCUAUAUAGCAUAGUAAGUUGGUAUGUAAAUGAUAAACAAUUUAUUAACAUGCUUUUAUCAAUCCUCACAAUAUGUUCUCAAGAUAAUACGAUCAUAAUUGCACUUAGUUCCACUAUUUACUUAUGUUUAUAUCAAGUUGUCUAUGUGAGUCAUAGUCACUAAAUUAUUUGUAUCUUGAGCUACGGAACUCCAAAUUAAGUUCCACUAUUUUUUCCUAAAAUUAGACUCACGUAUCUCCUUACCUUAAAAUUUCCAGAAUUUUUGGUUUAGCCAAUAAGUACAGUUUAUUCUUUAAAUUCGUCCAUGUUCUGCUGUCUGACAGUUUCGACCCUUUUUCACUAAAAAUUAAUUAUCUCCUAGUCCCGUUUGUUUCUCUUGAAAAUAGAUUCAUUAAUAAUUUCAAACAUAAAAUUAUAACUCAUAAUUAUUUUUAUAAAAUUUUUAAUGAUUUUCCAAAGUCAGAACAGGGGAUUCCGAAAUCAUCCUAACCCUGUCCUACAAAAAUUCAAAUAUCUCAUAAUAUGAAAUUCUUUUGCUUACUCUGUUUCUUCUAUGUAAAACUAGACUUAAUAAGCUUUAAUUUCAUAUCUUAUUCAACCUCUAAUUCAGUUUUCACCAUUUUUGGUGAUUUUUUAAAGUCACACAACCGCUGCUGUCCAAAACUAUUUUAUUUCUAAAUUUCACUCUUUCAUGUUUUCUUUAUUGUAACUUUCAUUGUAACACUUACUCCGUAUCAAUCUUACCAAAGCUCGAUCAUAUAUCGAGUACAUUGCUCAUAAGUUUAUACACACAUACUUGCACUUAUUCAUCACAUAGUAAUAUUUGUUUACACUUGGUCAUUUCCCAUUGAAUACAUCGGAAUAAUAACGGAUACUCGGUGGCCUACACAUAGUACCACCCUUGUAUCCAAAGCUACCUUCUUCACAAAGUGGCAUUCACAUAGUACCACACUUGUGACCAAAGCUAUCUUUCUUCACAAAGUGGCCAUCACAUAGUACCACACUUGAGUCACUAGUAACAUGUCACUUGUAUCCUAUUAUAUUCUUAAUGUUCAACUGGGAAAUUUCUCACUUUUUGAUACUUGUCAAUUUCAUCACAUGUCGAAAUUCGAUCAUACUCAGCCCUGCAUUUCUCUUAAUUUGACCUUUCAAUACAAUCUUGUAUUUUUAUAUUAUUCAUGAUCCAAUAAUAACAUACGAAAUAACACAUGAUGUCGAUUAAGCAUUUUAAAUAUAUCAAAUUAAUGCUUAUUAACAUACGAACUUACCUAGGUAUGAAGCGACGAAAUAAGUCAAUUACUCGAUUAUCUUAUUUUUUCCCUGAUCUAAUUCUGGAUCUCAUCUUCCUUGAUCUAUAACAACACAUUUAAUUUAUUUAUUCAUCAUGCUACUCAAAUUAGUCCAAUUUCACAUUUUUGGUAAAAUUAUAUUUUUACCCCUAAACUUUUCAUAUUUACACUUUUGCCCCUGGCUCGUAAAAUGAAAUUCAUUCAAUUUCUUUGCUACCCAUGCCUAGUUGUAUAUUUAUCAUACUUAUAGUAGCCCACAUUUUUCACAUAUUCACACUUUUACCACACAAUUUAUCAUAUUUCUCAAUUUAGUCCCUAAUCGACAUUUCUAUCAAAAAUCACUUUACAAAUGUUGUUUAUCUAACAACAAGGAUGUGUUUUCUAUCAUCAAUUAUCAAAAUACACACUUUAUCAACAAUGGAAAAAUUCACAAACUUUAACAGUUUUGAAAAUGAAGGUACGAGAUAGCUAAAUCGAGUUAUCACGACUCCGAAAACAUAAAAAUCAUUAAAAACGGGGCAAAAACCACUCACCUAUCAAGCACCAAAGCUUGGCCGAAUGAAACCCAUUCCAUGGCUGCCAUUUGUUUUUUU